GAUGAACGCUGGCGGCGUGCUUAACACAUGCAAGUCGAACGGAAAGGCUCCUGCUUGCAGGGGUACUCGAGUGGCGAACGGGUGAGUAACACGUGGGUGAUCUGCCCUGCACUUCGGGAUAAGCCUGGGAAACUGGGUCUAAUACCGGAUAGGACGAUGGUUUGGAUGCCAUUGUGGAAAGUUUUUUCGGUGUGGGAUGAGCUCGCGGCCUAUCAGCUUGUUGGUGGGGUAAUGGCCUACCAAGGCGUCGACGGGUAGCCGGCCUGAGAGGGUGUACGGCCACAUUGGGCCUGAGAUACGGCCCAGACUCCUACGGGAGGCAGCAGGGGAGAAUAUUGCACAAUGAGCGCAAGCCUGAUGCAGCGACGCCGCGUGGGGGAUGACGGCCUUCGGGUUGUAAACUCCUUUCGCUAGGGACGAAGCGCAAGUGACGGUACCUGGAGAAGAAGCACCGGCUAACUACGUG
rnacentral:rRNA from 1 species